ACUCUAACGGGUCCUGCCCACUGAGCAUGCCCAGCACAGCUGCCAGGCCCGCCGAGGACUCUCAACGUGCACGCUCCGCUCUCCGGUUUAGCGGCAGCAGAAGCUGGGGGCGGGGAGGGCGCAGGGAGCAAGACGCAGCCGCAAGGCAAGCCCCCUCCCCCAGCCAACUUCCUUAAAUGCAGAGCACCGCGGGCACGCAGAUGCGGCUUUCCACCCUGGAAGUCGGGCUGCUCGCUCCUGUCCUGCAUAGACAUCCCUAGUGGAUUCGCACCCUCCAGGUUUCACUCCUACGGAUGCAAGCCCGUGGCCACGCUGGGAAGUUCAUUUGUAGGAGCAGGCACUUGGUACAAGUGUGUCUGCGGUCCCGCAAACGCUGGCUUUCUUUGCCACUGUAAAUAUUUACCUUGCUUCAUGUUGUUUAUAUAGGUGCAUGUCUUAUCUCCCUAAAGAAAGUGUGAAAUUGCUAGCCUCAGUUAUUCUCAACUGUAAAAUGGGGAUAACGACACUCAAGGGGUGUACCGAGGAUGUAACUGAACGUUCAAGAGCUGACAAGCUUGGAAACACAAGACUGCGGCUUUCUCAACUUUGGCAUCAAUGAUAUUCUGAGGUGGACAACUCCCGAAACGAGAAUAAGCAUGCCAGCUGUCCUAUGCGUCGUGAGCUCUUCAGCAGCAUCCUUGGCCUGUAUCCACUAGAUGCCGGUAGAACUCCACACCUUACUCCAGUUCUGAUAAGGAAAAUGUGUUUACAUAUUUCCAAAUAUCCUGAAGGGUGUGGGGGGGAACACAUGAAAUCAGUCCCAUUUGAAAACCAGUGCUCUGGUUAAUGUUUUUCCUAUUUCUCCUCAGUUUUCUCUAUUUUCUGAACUAGUGAACUAUCUAUUUCUUCACAGGGGAUAAUGGGAAUAGACUCAAAAAUGGACUGCCUGCUGUUUUUGACUGGAAAGGGAAGCAGCAACAUUAAGUAACACAAGUACGUCUCACUAUCAGCAACACACUGGUAUAACUAGGUUUGAAUUCCCAUUCAGGCACUUACCAGCAGUGCAGUCUUGAGCAAGCCACUCCAAGUUGUUUCCUCAUCUGCAAAAUGGGAAUAAUAACAUCUACUUUGCAGAGUUGCUAUAUUAGAGACAAUGUAAGUAAAAUAGUACUAUACCUGAUAUAUAAUAGGGCUGCAAUAAAGGAUAGUUACUGAAUUAUUACUGAAGGAUGAUGGCACUGGAAGGUAUUGUUCACCUUCUAUGAUGAUUGUAUCAGUACUCCAACUUUAUUGUGCAUUACAGUCACCUGUGAUGUUUGUUACACAUUGAAGAUACCCAGAUCCCACCCUUGGAAUGGUCCAGGAACGUGAUGAGAAAAAAAUGACUGAGUUAAAGUUAUACUUGAGUCUGCUGUGUUUUUGCUCUGUUGUAAGACUGCAGCAUUUGAAGACACAAGAAACAACUCAUGAAAACAAUUCAAGCAUUUAACAUAUUUGUCAGACAGAACAAAAACUACUUUUAAAAUACUGGCAUUUUGACAGUUUAUUUUGAAGAUUAUUUUAAAAACAAAGACAAUCUGAGAAAAAAAUUGCACAGAGUAUGCUCAUUAAAUAAGUGUGAUGAUUAAAUCAAAAUAAGGGAAAUAGGUUCUCUUCUGAAACUCCGGAAAUAAGUUCUGUUGUUUUGAAGGUUCUUAUACUUCCAAAAAGGGGGGGAAAUCAUG